rnacentral:lncRNA from 1 species
ACACUUGUGUAGGAACAUGAUGCUGAGAUUGUAACUUAACUGAGGAGUUAAGCACUCCAGAGAAAUAAAAAUUUUUUUGUUCUGGUUGUAAAAGUAACGUGGUAGAUAUUCCUUGGUGGCCAUCAUAUGUGGCUUAAGCUCUUGCUAAGGAGAGGCAGGAAGAGAAACUGGCACUUGUGACCUCAUGAUCUGACUUCCUCAUGUCUCCCUCAUGUUAUGAAUAAGUUUCUCCUGAGCACUUUGUCUUCUGAUAUCUUAGGCACUGCAGAUGCAUUGAGUGACAUCGUACCCCAAAAGCAGCGGCAAGGAUCAAGCGAGAGGGGCACCGAAUGGGGCCAAGUAUGCCAAAAUCCUGCUGACUGCUGCCACUGCCAUUCUUGAAGGGUAGUUUGGGGUCUGUGAUGGUAGCCCGGAAGAGAAUGGGGCUGGGCUGGGAUGUUCUGUG